GACGAACGCUGGCGGCGUGCUUAAUACAUGCAAGUCGAGCGAGGCCCAUCCAGUGGCAACACUGGGGAAGGCCGAGCGGCGAACGGGUGAGUAACACGUGAGCAACCUGCCCCGAAGUCUGGAAUAACAUCGGGAAACCGGUGCUAAUACCGGAUUGCCCCACCUGACCGCAUGAUCGGGUGAGGAAAGAUUUAUCGCUUCGGGAGGGGCUCGCGGCCUAUCAGCUAGUUGGCGGGGUAACGGCCCACCAAGGCGUCGACGGGUAGCUGGUCUGAGAGGACGACCAGCCACACUGGGACUGAGACACGGCCCAGACUCCUACGGGAGGCAGCAGUAGGGAAUCUUGCGCAAUGGGCGAAAGCCUGACGCAGCAACGCCGC
rnacentral:rRNA from 1 species